rnacentral:rRNA from 1 species
GUCGGGAAUAUUGCGCAAUGGAGGAAACUCUGACGCAGUGACGCCGCGUAUAGGAAGAAGGUUUUCGGAUUGUAAACUAUUGUCGUGAGGGAAGAAGAUGACAGUACCUCAGGAGGAAGCUCCGGCUAACUAUGUGCCAGCAGCCGCGGUAAUACAUAGGGAGCAAGCGUUAUCCGGAAUUAUUGGGUGUAAAGGGUGCGUAGACGGGAAAUUAAGUUAGUUGUGAAAUCCCUUGGCUUAACUGAGGAACUGCAACUAAAACUGGUUUUCUUGAGUACUGGAGAGGAAAGUGGAAUUCCUAGUGUAGCGGUGAAAUGCGUAGAUAUUAGGAGGAACACCAGUGGCGAAGGCGACUUUCUGGACAGUAACUGACGUUGAGGCACGAAAGUGUGGGGAGCAAACAGGA